CUGCCAUUUUUCUUUGGAGUAACUUGCAAAUUAAAUUUAAAGCUCUUGUAAUGUUCCAACAGGUCUCCCUCUAUAACUUUGAAACUCACUUUAUAAUUUUCCCUAUCUAUGCCUUCAACCACCUCCUUUGCCACACAACUGUUUCCAUAUGUUGUUGUUCAAACUAAAAUUUUAGCUUCUUUAUAAACUUAUUUCUCUUUAAUUUCUCCAAAAAAAUGGCACCAAGAAUCACAAUGUCUCAAAUUAUUCAUGUAAAUCAAAUUCUGAUUAUGAUGCUCUUAAGAGAAAUUGUAAGGAACAUAAUGUUUUGUUAAUGAGGUUUUGAAGUGGAAGUUUGCAUACCAUGUGUGUAAUUCCAAGAAAUGAUGGAUCCCUCGGUGCCCCAUUCUCCUUUGUGAAUUUGAAUAGACUUUACUUUCUGAGGUGACAUGUUAGCAAUAUGGUGUGGCCUAUUGCAAAAAACAUCAUAAAACUGCUUAGCAGAAGCCUUGAUAUGGAUCUUAGUUUCAAUCUUUUGAAGUUGAGAGUAUGCCAUUUUUGCUUCACUCCUGAGAAGAUAUGAAAAAUAUGUGGACAAUACACCUAUAUAUAUACUCAUCUUGUCUUGUUGGAGUAACCUAACAACACAUAACCUAAUUAAGUCUUUUAUAAAUUGAGUUAUUUAUUAAAAGUUUUCCUUAUUUUAGAUGAAAAUAAAAGUAUAUUUAAAAUAUUUAAUAUAAUUUAAAAAAAAAAUUAAAAGUAUUCCAAUUUAUGAAGCAAUUAAAACUUAAUUAUAUAUAAUAUGAUCUAGAAAAAAUCACAUUAGUUUAGGAAAAGAAUUGGAGGCAACAUUUCUUAAUAAAAAAUAACCUUAGAAUUCAUUUUGCGUUUGGUUUGAUCAUUGAUUUUUUCUAAAUUAAAGGAAUAUGUGUUUUUGAAGUUUCAGCUGAACCACCACUAGUGGAAGAGGCAUCUUCUUUUCUUUGCAAUAAUAUGACUUUAUGGGCUCACAUGGCAGAAGAUUUUAGUUUCUCCCAAUCUGAUUUUUUUUUCUAUAAAUGUAUACUUAAAUUAAGUGUUAGCAUUUAGAGAAUAAAAUUAUCAGCCUUAGGAAUAAAUUGAAGUUAGUUUUGUUCACACAAAUAAUUCAAGGUUAGCUUACUUUAAUAAAUCAUGCUUAAGUAAUAUACUAGUCAAUAAUUUAAAGUUUGAGUGGAAUUAAUAGUUGGAGAUCCCACAUCGACUAGAAAUUAGAGUCUUUCAUAGUAUAUAAGUGGGUGCAAACCUCUUUUCAUUGAAUUAGUUUUAUGAGGUUGAGUUAGAUUUAAAGUACACUUUGUAAUAUUAAUGUUAAGAUAUUUUUUUAUUCUAUGGAAUUCUCAUCAUUCAAACAACAAUUAGUCACUUAAAUUAGAGACUUUCACCUUUUUGUCAGUACAAGUCACUACAAAGAAUGUCUAUUGCUCAAAUGACACGUCUCUAAUUUAAAUUACAUGCUAAUUAAGUAAACACUUAUUUUUGUAUGCUUCAAAAUAUAUAUAUAUAUAUAUAUAAAUGAAAUCAUUGAGUUGACGUGUAUGAAAUAAAUGGAUAUAUUUGAGAUAUAAGAUUGAAUUGAGGGAAAAAAAAUUAAUAUUUAGAAUGGUAACAUAGUCAAGUUAUUUUUGUUAAGAAAAUAAUAGAUUUUAACUUUACUAAUAAUUUAAAUUACAUAUAUUAAGGUAUUUCAAAUAAUGAGAAACUGAAGAAAGGUUAUUACGUCAUCUUCCAUAUCAUAGGUGCAAAAAAUCACCUCAACAUAAGAAAUUGAGGUUGAAUUAUCAAAAGUACUUAAUAUGAAUAUUCUAUAAGGGAUCAAGUUGUAGCAAAAUUAUCUUGAUGCUAUAAGAGAUACAAUGCGUAUUUGUGUUGGCUUUUAAAAUAAAAAACAUUAGCAAGGAUCAAACCCAUACUAAAUUAAAUACAUUUUAAAAUAUAAAACACUAGUGUGGGUUAAGCGAAUGCUAAAUUAACUAAAAUUUUAAAUAAAAAAUAUUAAUAUGAGUUAAACGGACGCUAAAUUAAAUAAAUUUAAAAAAAAAAACUAACAUGGAUAAGCAGACGUUAAAUUAAAAUAAAAAAAUAUCAACUUGAGUCAAACUAAUGCUAAAUUAAAUAAAAUUUAAAAUAAAAAACAUUAGUGUCAACUAAACUGAUGCUAAACUACAUUAAUUAAAAAAUUAAUUUAAAAAUGAGUGACAAAUCGAUCUUCAAAAGUGAUAUGCUCAUUAUUUACACAGUAAAUUACUACUAAAGAAAAUGUUUUUUUGUCUGAUUUUUAGUGAAACGUAGGACAUACAACAUUAAUUUAAAAAAGUAACCGAUAUAGUAUGCACACUUUUUACAUCAAUUGAUAAUCGAUAUAGAAACUUCCCUAUUUUUUAUAUCGUCUGCAUCAUCUAUGUUGAUCAUGCAAUCGAUGUAAAAAAUAAUUUUCUAAUAGUUAUUUUAAUAACUAAUAAUAUUUUAUGACCAAAUUUAAUAAUAAUUAAUUUAAUGACCAAUUUUAAUGAUAAAAGAAAUCAUUUAUUAGAAAUUCAAACUUUAUUUAAGAAAAUAAUUAAAAUAAAUAAGUAUAAUAUAAAACAUUGAGUUCAUAAUUAAAAUAAAUAAUUAUAUUAUAACAAUGUAACAUUGUUAGGCCAAUAAAUGUCAAGUAAAGUCUUUCCAACUUAAUUCGAAUUAGUAGUCAGCGAUUGAUAACUAAUUAUUUAUUACUUAAUCGUUAACUAGAUUAAUAACUAUAAGCUUAGUAACAUUCAAAGUUCUACACAAAGGAAAAUAUUGUAUGAUAGGUGAUUGUUGAAGUUUGAAAUGUUAGUCCAGAUAAGAUGUCAGACUUCAUAGUGAUAUAUAACAUAAAGAUUUAAAGGAAAAAAAAAAUUUCAAUGCAAACUUUGUGUCCCAAAGUUCUUAAUGACAAAACACCAAACACAAAUCAUACAACAUAACAUAAAUUUGCUAAGCUCACUCCUACUAGUUCUUGAUGAACUUUAUUAUAAGUACUUUAUACAUAAGAUCGAUGAAAUUAAUUAAAGAGUAAUUAAUUAGGCCCCAUAAUACAUCAAUUAUUAUUUCUUAGAUAGCAACAUCAUAUAAGAUAUGUGAGUAAGGUAAGAAUCAAUGUUCUUACUCAUCUCAACUACCAAUUGCAACAAGGUGUGAGGAUCAGGAAUGUGGUUUUCUUGUUUCUCAAACACCAGUGUCCACUGCACCACACUGCCAUUUCCCUUUGGAGUAACUUGUAAAUUAAGUUUGAAGCUCUUUUUUCUUUGGAGUAACUUGCAAAUUAAAUUUAAAGCUCUUGUAAAGUCCCAACAGGUCUUCCUCUAAAACUUUGAAUUACAAUUUUCCCUAUCUAUGUCGUCAACCACCUCCCUUGCCACAACUUUGUUAUAAACUUAUUUCUCUCUAAUUUAUCAAAAACUUGGCAUCAAUAAUCACAAUGUCUCAAAUUAUUCAUGUAAAUAUUAUUAUAAAACUGAUUUUCUUUUAAUCCUUGAAAAUAAAUUGAAUGUGAAUAAAUAAAUAAAAGAAUAUAAUGCAUAAAAAUAAUACUUGAGUGUUACUAAAGACGUCAAAUAAUAUGGUUAAGCAAAUCAGAUUAUGACUAUCAUAAGAGAAAUUGCAAGGAAUGCAAUGUUUUGUUAAUAAACACUACAAGAAAAUCAUUAAAUCAAUUUUAGAAAAAAAAUAAUUAGUUUUUAUAUUGAUUAAAUUAGAUACUAUUUUAGAUACUAAAAAGAAUUAUUAGUAUCUUAAUUAGUUUUUAUUAUUGAUAAAUAAUUCCUAAAUUGAUAUCUAAUUAGUUACCAGGAUUUUAGCUGGGAAGUAUUUAGAUUUUAAAGUUGGUAGCUAAUUAAAUACCGAUUUAAAAACUAUUUAUCAAUAAUGAAAACUAAUUUAAAUAUCAAUAAUAAUUUUUUUUAGCCUCUAAAAUAUUAUCUAAUUUAGUCAAUAUAACAACUAAUUAUUUUUUGUCUCUAAAAUUGAUUUCUAUUUAAUGAUUUUCUAGUAAUGAAUUUAGAAACUAAAGUUUGCAUACCAAGUGUGUAAUUCCAGGAAAUGAUGGAUCCCUCAGUGCCCCAUUCUCCUUUGUGGAUUUGAACAGACUGUAUUUUUUGAGGUAAAAUGUUGGCAAUAUGGUGUGGCCUGUUGCAAAAAACAUCAUAGAACUGUUGGGCAGAAGCCUUGAGAUGGACAUUAGUUUCAAUCUUUUGAAGUUGAGAGCAUGCCAUUUUUGCCUCACUCCUAAGAAGGUAUGAAAAAUAUAUGUGGACAAUACACCUAUAUAUACUUCUCUUCUCUUGAAUUUGUCUUGUUGGAAUAUCCUAACAACAUAUAUUAUUUAUUAAGAGUUUUUGUUCUAUUAUAUGAAAAUAAAAAUAUAUUUAAAAUAUUUAAUAUAAGUUUUUAAUAAAAAAAUAAUUAGUUAUGGAAGGAAUAUAUGUGAUAUGUGAGCCCAUAAAUGAAAGGAAUAUAUGUGCUUUGAAGUUUAUAUGUGCUUUGAAGUUUCAGCUGAACCACCACUAGUGGAGGAGGCAUCUUCUUUCCUUUAGAUUUUAUGGGCUCACAUGGCAGAAAAGGGAUAACCAUGAUUCAAAGUUCAUAAUAAAAAUGGCAAGUGCAUAUUGUAAGUGCUGAUAGAAUUUUAAUUCUCCAUGUUACUAAAACAUUAUUUUAAUCCAUAGUGUAGAAUAUUCUAGUUUCUCCCAAUCUGAUUUUUUUUCUCUCUAGAAAUUUAUACUUAAAUUAAGUGUUAGCAUGUUUGAGAAUACAUUGAAGUUAGUUCUCUUCACACAAAUAAUUGAAGGUUAGCUUAAUUUAAUAUUUUGUAUAAGUAAUGUGAUUAUUUUACUCUAAUCACAAGUUUAGUCAAGACACCACCCUUGGUAAAAAAAAACUGUGGUUAGUGGUAGAUAAAAAAAAGGAAAAUUUCCUUAUGACACCACUAUUUAAAAAUACAUCUAUUCCACAACUAUUUUUUAUAUUAAAAUAAUAACUUUAUAUGGAUAUCAAAUGAAUGAAAUAAUAAUUUUAUACGGAUAUCAAAUGAAUGAAAAAAAAAUUAAUGAUAAAUGAUUUAAUGUAGCUAAUAAACUCCAAGCAUAAAAGUUUUAAAAUCUAUACUUAUUGUAGUAAUAUCAAACUCAUGAAUUCACUUAAUUUUAAUCGAAUCAAAUUUUUUUUCGCUCUAACAUAAGUUUUUAUUAAAAUAAAAUAAUGUUCAUUAAUUAUAUAUAUAUAUAUAUUCGAUAUUUUACUCCUAUAUUUAGUAGAAAUGUUAAGUAACUCAUAAGGGAAUAGUUAUUGUUUUAAGUGAAAGGUUAGGACCGGUUAAAGCACAUUAUUAAACCAAAAAGAAAGUAAACCAAAAAGAAAGUAAAGAGAAUUACAAGAAAUAUAAAAGGAUUGCCAAAACUUAUGAAAGAAAAAAAAAUUGUCUCACAAAAUGAAAAAAAAAGGAGAGAUUUGUCUUAUUUUGAAUAAAGUCAUAAGCUAUGAGUUUUUUUGGGAUGAUUGUUUUCACUUAGGUUAAAAAGUAUAAUGAGAUUGAUUUACUGUGAUAAUGAGUGAGACUCGUAAGAGUGUAGGUUAAAUAGUCUCUCAUUCUUUUGUAUCUCAUUCUUUGUAUAUAGUUUGGAACAUUUCUUAAAUAUUUCACUUUAAUUUUAAUUUAUCUUUUAUAUUAAAUAAUACAUUUCUUAUUGAAAGUCUAAAGAAAAGUCACAUUCAAUCUAUAAAAAAUGUCAUUCCAUUUUUACGAUGUACUCCAAAGCAAAUAUGAUGGAAAAUAUUACAACAACAAGAACUAACUUUGUAUUUGUAGAAUGUGGUUAGGUCAUAAUACUAGUCACUUUGCAUGUAUUAUGAGCAAUCUCUAUGAUUCUAUUUAUGUUUAAUCUUAAACAUUGUUACAUAUUUAAGUUAGUGCCAACAAUCCUAUACUUAUAUUAGUUGACUAGGUGAUUAGGUUCAAAAAAGAAAAUAAGAAGAAAAUACUCUAAGAGCAAACACAUUUCAUGAUUUAAUGGGGAUGACACAUAUUUGGAUCUUUUUAGCAAGACAAUUGGAUGAAACAAAUAUGUCUAUUUUGGAAUAACUCAAUUUGGAUUAUAUGUGAAUAGAAACUAAUUUUAGAAAAAAAAAUAAUUAGUUACUAUAUUUACUAAAUUAAAUAUUAAAAUAAUUAUUUUAGUCUCUAAAAUAGUAUCUAAAAAAAAUUAAUUAUUUUUUGUUUUUAAAAUUAAUUUCUAUUUUUUUGCCUCAAUCUUAAUUUUUAAAUAUUGUAUUCAUUAUUUCUUAUGGAAUUUGUGCUCGAAAAUGACACUGAACCACUCUUUGAUUUCUUAUCCAGAUUCUAGUAAUAAUUGGUUUUUAAAUUGAUAUUUAAUUAUUAGUUAUCAAAAUUUUAGCUUACUCACAACUUUAUAUUCUAACUUUAUAUCUAUUAGUCUUUUAGAGAUUAAUUUAGAAUUUAAAGUAUUAGUAACUAAAAUCUUGAUAGCUAAUUUAGAUAAUAAUUUAAAAAUUAUUUUAUAAAUUUUUAUUAAUAAUAGAAAUCACUUUAGUUACAAAUAAUUUUUUAAUCUCUAAAAUAGUAUCUAAUUUAGUUAAUAUAGUUAAUAUAGUGAUUAAUUAUUUUUUGUCUCUAAUUUUAGUUAUUAUUUGAUAAAUUUUUUAGUGUAAAAUAUAUAGUUUUUGAAAAUUUAUGGUAGAUAUGAUUUAUUAAAAUAAGUAAAAUAUAUUUGUUCAUUACUAUUUAUAAUUGAAAGUAAUUUAUAUUUUAUUGUUGGGAAAGUUCACAAAUUUGUAAGAAGCUGAACUUGAAAAGCUAUUUUCGGAAAACAUUUUUAAGGAAUAUUAUUUUUUUAAAGCAUCAAUCAAAAACCUUGAAACAAACAAUUCUUAACUUCUUAUUUAUGAGAAACUACUUUUUCUUUAUAUUAAAUAUUUCUAAUAUUUCUUAUGCCUCAUUUAAUCAAAUUAUUAUUGUCGAUAAAAAUAAAUCACCCCAAAUAUUUUUAUGUUAAAAUAAAAAUAUUAUUUUUAUAUCUUAAUUGAGGGACUUUCGCCUUUUUUGUGAAUACAAGUUGUUAAAGCGAAUGUGUGUUGCUCAAAUGACACAUCUCUAAUUUGAAUUAUAUGCUAUUAUAUAUAUAUAUAUAUAUAUAUAAUCAUUGAAUUAAUGUGUAUGAAAUGAAUGGAUACAUUGAGAUAUAUGAAGAUUGAAUUGAGGGAAUAAAAAAUUAAUAUUUGGGAUGGUAACAUAGUCAAGUUAUUUUCGUUGUUUUAAGUGUAAGAGUCCGUAAGAGAAUAAGAUAUUGUAAUUUUACUAAAUAGUUUAAAUCACAUAUAUUAAGGUAUCCCACAAAAUGAGAAACAAAAGAAGGUUAUUACGUCAAGUUUUCAUAUCGUAAGCACAAAAAAUCACCUCAACAUAAGAAUUGAGGUUGAAUUACCAAAAUUACUUAAUAUGAAUAUUCUAGAAAGGGUCAAGUUUGUAGCAAAAUUAUCUUGAUGCUAUAAGAGAUACAAUGUGUGUGUGUGUUGACUUUUAAAAUAAAUAAAAAAAACAUUAGCAAGGACCAAACCCAUGUUAAAUUAAAUAAAUUUUAAAAUAUAAAACAUUAGUCUAGGUCAAGCGAACGCUAAAUGAAAUAAAUUUGUAAAUAAAAAACAUUAGUAUGGACUAAACGAACACUAAAUUAAAUAAAGUUUAAAAUAAAAAAACACUGACAUGGAUCAAGCGGACGUUAAAUUAAAUAAUUUUUAAAAUAAAAAUAUUAGUGUGGGUCAAGUUGACGCUAAAUUAAAUAACUUUUAAAAUAAAAAACAUUAGUGUCAAUCAACUAAACUGAUGCUAUACUACUUUAAUUAAAAAACUAAUUUAAAAAUGAGUGACAAAUCGAUCUUAAAAAAUCAACACUAAAGAACUUCAAAUGUGAUAUGUGCAUUAUCUACAUUGACUUUGGUAAAUUACUACCAAAAAAAUGCUUUUUUUUAUUGAUUUUUGGUGAAACGUAGGACAUAUAACAUUAUUUUUAAAAAUUAACCGAUAUAUUUUGGAAACUUUUUACGUUGUUGAUAAUCAAUAUAGAAACUUCCCUAUUUUAUAUAUAUAUAUAUAUCAAGUAACCGAUGUAAAAAUUGGUUUUUCUAGUAGUUAUUUUAAUAACUAAUAAUAUUUUAUGAUCAAAUUUAGUAAUAAUUAAUUUUGUGACCAAUUUUAAUGAUAAAAGAAAUAAAAAACUUAUUUAAAAAAAUAAUUAAAAUAAAUAAGUAUAAUAUAAAAUAUUGAGUUUAUAAUUAAAAUAAAUAAUGAUAAUAUAACGAUGUAAGGCCAUAAGUGUCAAGUAAAGACUUUUCAACCUAAUUUGAAUUAGUAGUCAUUUUAAUUAGUAAUUGAUAACUAAAUAUUUGUUAAUUUACCACUAACUAGGUUAAUAAAUAUAAGCUUAGUAACAUUUAAAAUUUUACACAAAAGUAAAGAAGAUCGUUGUAAAAUGGAUGAUUGUUGAAGUUUGAAACGAUAGCCUAGCCGAAACGUCAGACUUCAUAGUAAUAUAUAACAUAAAUUUUUAAAGAAAUAAAAAAGAUUUCAAAAUGACAAAACACCAAACACAAAUUAUACAUAACAUAAAUUUUCCUAGCUCACUCCUAUUGGUUCCUGAUGCACUUUAUUAUAAGUACUUUAUACGUAAUAUUGAUGGAAUUAAUUAAGGGAUACAUCAAAUGUUAUUUCUUAGACAUCAACAACAUAAGAUAUGAGCUUUAUUUAUAUUUGACAACUAAUGAUCUAGUUGUUCUCUUGAGUAAGGUAAGAAUCAAUGUUCUUACUCAUCUCAACUACCAAUUGCAACAAGGUGUGAGGAUCAGGAAUGUGGUUUUCUUGUUUCUCAAACACCAGUGUCCACUGCACCACACUGCCAUUUCCCUUUGGAGUAACUUGAAAAUCAGUUUUGAAGCUCUUGUAAAGUCCCAGCAAGUCUCCCUCUAAAACCUUGAAGCUCAGUUUACAGUUUUCCUUAUUUAUGCCUUCAACCACCUCCUUUGCCACAUAUUUUUUUUCAUCUGUUGUUAUCCAAACUAAAAUUUUAGAUUCUUUAUAAACUUAUUUCCCUCUAAUUUCUCAAAAAUUUGGCACCAUUAAUCACAAUGUCUCAAAUUAUUCAUGUAAAUAUUAUUAUAAAGCUAGUGUUCUUUUAAUCCUUGAAAAUAAAUCAAAUGUGAAUAAAUAAAUAAAAGAAUAUAUAAUGCAUAAAAAUAAUAUUUGAUUGAUAAUAAAGACCUUAAAUAAUAUAGUUAAGCAACUCCGAUUAUGAUGCUCAUAAGAGAAAUAGCAAGGAAUGUAAUGUUUUUUUAAUAAACACUACAAGAAAAUUAUUAAAUCAAUUUUGAAGAAAAAAUAAUUAGUUUUUAUAUUGAUUAAAUUAGAUACUAUAUUAAAGACUAAAAAGAAGUAUUGGUAUCUAAAUUAAUUUUUAUUAUUGAUAAAUAAUUCCUAAAUUGGUAUCUAAUUAGCUAUCAAGAUUUUAGUUACCCACUAUUUAGAUUUUAAAGUUGGUAACUAAUUAAAUAUCAAUUUAAAAACUAAAAUGAUAUCUAAUUUAGUUAAUAUGAUAACUAAUUAUUUUUUAUUUUUAAAAUUAAUUUUUAUUUAAUGAUUUUCUAGUAAUAAAAGUUGAGCAAUGGAAGUUUGCAUACCAAGUGUGUAAUUCUAGGAAAUGAUGGAUCCCUCAGUGCCCCAUUCUCCUUUGUGGAUUUGAACAGACUGUAUUUUUUAGGUAAAAUGUUGGCUAUAUGGUGUGGCCUGUUGCAAAAAACAUCAUAGAACUGUUGAGCAGAAGCCUUGAGAUGGACCUUAGUUUCAAUCUUUUAAAGUUGAGAGUAUGCCAUUUCUCCUUCACUCCUAAGAAGGUAUGAAAAAUAUAUGUGAACAAUACACCUAUAUAUA
rnacentral:lncRNA from 1 species